GGGGAAUGUUCCAUUUGAUGUACGCAUUGGCUGUUGAAGGGGACAAGAGGCCUCGACGGAUCUAUGAUCACAUGACCCAGCGAUGCGAUGGCAUCCAAAUUUAAGGAACGGUCAUGCCGCAGCUACACAGAAACAUUUCUCCGAUUGAAAGGGCAAAAAAAAUCCAUCACGUUCAACCGUUUGCUCGCCCAUUUGUAAUUGUUGACACGGGAAAGAACCAAACCAUCCGCUACAUUUUUGUCCACAAAAAUGGCUGCGGCCACUCUCUCCGUCCGGCCCAACCGCCUCGCUCCUGGUUCACCCUUCUCCUGGCCACCGGUCCACCUCCCCACCUCCGCCGCCACCACAACUCAAAUAAAGUCCUCGAAGAAUGAGCCAUGGAGGGCCACAAUAAUUCCAUCUUCUCGUCGCCUCUUAGCUGCAGGUGGCGCGCGAGCCGGUUCCCGAGCCGACGACUCUGCGCCGUCUGAGAUGUCGGUCGAGAACGCUCUCAAGCUUCUCGGCGUCUCCGAGAGCGCGUCUUUCGAUGAUAUACUUCGCGCCAAAAAAGCUAUUAUUGCUGCGUGCAAGGAUAACCAGGAAGCGAUUGCACAGGUUGAGGCUGCAUAUGAUAUGUUACUCAUGCGAAGCUUAACUCAACGUCGAGCUGGCAAAGUUGCAAAUAGUGGCAUCUGGUAUGCUGAUGUCAAGCCCAUAAAU
rnacentral:misc_RNA from 1 species